AUUGAACGCUGGCGGCAUGCCUUACACAUGCAAGUCGAACGGCAGCACGGAAGCAAUCCUGGUGGCGAGUGGCGAACGGGUGAGUAAUAUAUCGGAACGUGCCCAGUCGUGGGGGAUAACGUAGCGAAAGCUACGCUAAUACCGCAUACGAUCUAUGGAUGAAAGCGGGGGAUCGCAAGACCUCGCGCGAUUGGAGCGGCCGAUAUCAGAUUAGGUAGUUGGUGAGGUAAAGGCUCACCAAGCCGACGAUCUGUAGCUGGUCUGAGAGGAUGAUCAGUCACACUGGAACUGAGACACGGUCCAGACUCCUACGGGAGGCAGCAGUGGGGAAUUUUUGGACAAUGGACGCAAGUCUGAUCCAGCCAUUCCGCGUGCAGGAUGAAGGCCCUCGGGUUGUAAACUGCUUUUGUACGGAACGAAAGGUUUGUCUUAAUACGAUGAGCUCAUGACGGUACCGUAAGAAUAAGCA
rnacentral:rRNA from 1 species